rnacentral:rRNA from 1 species
ACGGAAGGCAGCAGUGGGGAAUAUUGGACAAUGGGCGCAAGCCUGAUCCAGCCAUGCCGCGUGAGUGAUGAAGGCCUUAGGGUUGUAAAGCUCUUUUAUCCGGGACGAUAAUGACGGUACCGGAGGAAUAAGCCCCGGCUAACUUCGUGCCAGCAGCCGCGGUAAUACGAAGGGGGCUAGCGUUGCUCGGAAUCACUGGGCGUAAAGGGCGCGUAGGCGGCGUUUUAAGUCGGGGGUGAAAGCCUGUGGCUCAACCACAGAAUGGCCUUCGAUACUGGGACGCUUGAGUAUGGUAGAGGUUGGUGGAACUGCGAGUGUAGAGGUGAAAUUCGUAGAUAUUCGCAAGAACACCGGUGGCGAAGGCGGCCAACUGGACCAUUACUGACGCUGAGGCGCGAAAGCGUGGGGAGCAAACAGGAUUAGAUACCCUGGUA